UACAGAGGGUGCGAGCGUUAAUCGGAAUUACUGGGCGUAAAGCGCGUGUAGGCGGCCCUGCAAGUCGGGUGUGAAAUCCCAUGGCUCAACCAUGGAAGUGCACUCGAAACUGCAGGGCUAGAGUCCUGGAGAGGAAGGUGGAAUGCUUGGUGUAGAGGUGAAAUUCGUAGAUAUCAAGCGGAACACCGGUGGCGAAGGCGGCCUUCUGGGCCAACACUGACGCUCAUGCACGAAAGCGUGGGGAGCAAACAGG
rnacentral:rRNA from 1 species